rnacentral:rRNA from 1 species
UACGUAGGGGGCGAGCGUUGUCCGGAUUCAUUGGGCGUAAAGAGCUCGUAGGCGGCUUGGUAAGUCGGGUGUGAAACCUCCAGGCUCAACCUGGAGACGCCACUCGAUACUGCCAUGGCUAGAGUCCGGUAGGGGCCCACGGAAUUCCUGGUGUAGCGGUGAAAUGCGCAGAUAUCAGGAGGAACACCGGUGGCGAAGGCGGUGGGCUGGGCCGUUACUGACGCUGAGACGCGAAAGCGUGGGGAGCAAACAGG